rnacentral:rRNA from 1 species
CCUCGCAAUGAAUUUCAAUAGCCGCAGGUUCCUGUGCUAAGUAGAUAAUCAUAUGUUUCUUAAUUAGAGACUAGAAUUGAAAGGUUAAACAUUUUAUUUCUUAUUUUUUUACAAAUUAUUAAACUUAUAUUAAAUGUAAAAAUAACAUUUAUAUUAAAAAAAGACGACAAGACCCUAUCGAACUUAACUUUUAGUUUUGCUGGGGCAGCAAUUUAAUUAAAACUUUAAAUUAAUUUUAAAACUAAUGAUCCGAUAACCAUCGUUAAUUGAACAAGUUACCGUAGGGAUAACAGCGUAAUUUUUAUUUAUAGCUCUUAUAAAAAUAAAAGUUUACGACCUCGAUGUUGAAUUAAUUUAACUUUUCAAUGCAAAUUCAUUAAGGUAA